CUGUCAUCGUAUCACCGAAGUCACUUGUUACAUGUGCUCAGGAUUCGUAAGACGCUUCAUAGUCCAAUCAUUUACAUAUUAAAUUACACAAUGUAUAUAAUAACUAUUCUGAAUUUUAAUCUAAGAUGAACGUGAAAGAUGAUAUUUUGAGAAAUGCCUACAAAGACCAUAGAGGGGCUGGUCUUGAAGUAAGUUUGAGGCUGAAAAUUUAUGUGACAUGUGUGUAUAAGAAGCAGUGACUAAUGACUUCUAAUUAAAAAAUAUGGGUAAGCUUAACCAGACUGAAGAGCUGAGGACCAAUAACCAAUGUUAGCAUUUUCGCGCAGAAACAUCAUGCAUUUAAACAUGAGUCACAUAUGUUAGAGGUAAACAAUGGGAUCGAGCUGCACUGUUGAAUAACAAGUAUAGUACAAUGAAAAGUAUGUUUCUGUUAGAAAAAUAAAAUUACAACAUUAAG